rnacentral:rRNA from 1 species
AUUGAACGCUGGCGGCAUGCCUUACACAUGCAAGUCGAACGGUAACAGGUCUUCGGAUGCUGACGAGUGGCGAACGGGUGAGUAAUACAUCGGAACGUGCCUAGUAGUGGGGGAUAACUACUCGAAAGAGUGGCUAAUACCGCAUGAGAUCUACGGAUGAAAGCAGGGGAUCGAAAGACCUUGUGCUACUAGAGCGGCCGAUGGCAGAUUAGGUAGGUGGUGGGAUAAAAGCUUACCAAGCCGACGAUCUGUAGUUGGUCGGAGAGGACGAUCAGCCACACUGGGACUGAGACACGGCCCAGACUCCUACGGGAGGCAGCAGUGGGGAAUUUUGGACAAUGGGCGCAAGCCUGAUCCAGCAAUGCCGCGUGCAGGAUGAAGGCCUUCGGGUUGUAAACUGCUUUUGUACGGAACGAAAAGCCCUGGGUUAAUACCCUGGGGUCAUGACGGUACCGUAAGAAUAAGCACCGGCUAACUACGUGCCAGCAGCCGCCGUAAGAC